rnacentral:lncRNA from 1 species
CCGCGAUAUCCUCUCACGCAGCUUUUCAGUCAGGGUCAUCCUCAACCACUGUCACCUAGCUGCCAUGCCGGGACACAUCAGGGAGCCAGGCAGAUCCAGCAUGUGCAGCACCUCCAAGGCACUGAAUCCACUGUUUAACGGGCAGGAGCCUCAGAUUUCCAUGCUCUUCCCAAGGGAAUCCAGCUCUGCAGAAGAGGCACCGGCCAUCCCGAAACGUCAGCGCUGCACGGUCACCUCACGGCCUCCGCUGCGGGCCCGGCCGGCCGCUUCUCAGCGGGAACGUUCAGAACGCCCUUCUUUCUUCCUUUCCUUCCUUCCUUCUUUCCUCCCUUCCUCACCGGCAGUGUAACAGCGGCUUUGUUUCACCCGUCCCGGCCGCUCCGUCCCUUUCCUUUCUCCCAACCCGGCCCCUCGCGCUUUCCGGCACGCUCCGCCCGCCCCCUCGGCGCCGUUUCCCG